UACGUAGGUGGCAAGCGUUGUCCGGAUUUACUGGGCGUAAAGGGCGCGUAGGCGGCCACCGCAAGUCGACUGUGAAAUCUCUGGGCUUAACCCAGAACGGUCAGCCGAUACUGCGGGCUAGAGUGCAGAAGGGCAACUGGAAUUCUCGGUGUAGCGGUGAAAUGCGUAGAUAUCGAGAGGAACACCUGCGGCGAAGGCGGGUUGCUGGGCUGACACUGACGCUGAGGCGCGAAAGCUAGGGGAGCGAACGGG
rnacentral:rRNA from 1 species